GACGCUGGCGGCAUGCCUAACACAUGCAAGUCGAACGAGAAAGUUCCUUCGGGAGCAAUUAAAGUGGCGCACGGGUGAGUAACGCGUAGACAAUCUACCCUUCAGUCUGGGACAACUUUUCGAAAGGAGAGCUAAUACCGGAUAACAAUGUUUAACAUAAGUUAAGUAUUUGAAAGCUUUAUGUGCUGAAGGAGGGGUCUGCGUCCCAUUAGCUAGUUGGUAGGGUAAAGGCUUACCAAGGCAACGAUGGGUAGCGGGUUUGAGAGGACGAUCCGCCACACUGGAACUGAGACACGGUCCAGACUCCUACGGGAGGCAGCAGUGGGGAAUAUUGCACAAUGGAGGAAACUCUGAUGCAGCAAUGUCGCGUGAGUGAAGAAGGCCCUUGGGUCGUAAAGCUCUUUUAUGGGGGAAGAUGAUGACGGUACCCCAGGAAUAAGCACCGGCUAACUAUGUGCCAGCAGCCGCGGUAAUACAUAGGGUGCGAGCGUUGUUCGGAAUUACUGGGCGUAAAGGGCGCGCAGGCGGAAUAGUAAGUCGGAGGUGAAAGCCCGGGGCUCAACCCCGGAGGGUCUUUCGAAACUGCUAAUCUAGAGAGGGUCAGGGGCCGGCAGAAUUCCUGGUGUAGAGGUGAAAUUCGUAGAUAUCAGGAGGAAUACCGGUGGCGAAGGCGGCCGGCUGGGGCCACUCUGACGCUGAGGCGCGAAAGCGUGGGGAGCAAACAGGAUUAGAUACCCUGGUAGUCCACGCCGUAAACGAUGAGCACUGGACGUCCGGAGGGUUCGACCCUUCUGGGUGUUUCAGCUAACGCAUUAAGUGCUCCGCCUGGGGAGUACGGUCGCAGACUAAACCAAUGAUAC
rnacentral:rRNA from 1 species